rnacentral:rRNA from 1 species
AUACGUAGGGUGCAAGCGUUAAUCGGAAUUACUGGGCGUAAAGCGUGCGCAGGCGGUUUUGUAAGACAGUGGUGAAAUCCCCGGGCUCAACCUGGGAACUGCCAUUGUGACUGCAAGGCUGGAGUGCGGCAGAGGGGGAUGGAAUUCCGCGUGUAGCAGUGAAAUGCGUAGAUAUGCGGAGGAACACCGAUGGCGAAGGCAAUCCCCUGGGCCUGCACUGACGCUCAUGCACGAAAGCGUGGGGAGCAAACAGGAUUAGAUACCCUGGUAGUCCACGCCCUAAACGAUGUCAACUGGUUGUUGGGGAUUUAUUUUCUCAGUAACGAAGCUAACGCGCGAAGUUGACCGCCUGGGGAGUACGGCCGCAAGGUUAAAACUCAAAUGAAUUGACGGGG